AGUCAAUAACAUUAUUAAAUUCGAUCACACAUAACAAGUAUAUAUAAUACCAUAACUUAAACUUACCGUUGGGUUCCCAGACGCCAUUGCAACUGCCCAAAUUUCAGACAAACAUAUGAAUGGUGGAUUAGGGUUCAUACAAACACAAAAGGCAUAAAACGACACGCACAAAAGCAAAACACAAAAACCCUCCCCAACCCAAACAAUGCGAUAUAGAGUGAAAACUCUAAUGGGAUAUACUGCACAAAACCAAACACACCCAAAACGCAAAACGCGAAACGCGAAAUAGUGCUUACCAAUAGAGUAUGGAUGAAUACAAAUCCAGAGAAGAGAGACGAAUGGAAAGAACAAGGGAGUCGAUAGACGAAUGAGUGCAGGAGACGAAUAAAGAGAGGAACCGAAUGGGAGAGACGAGAACUUUGCUUUCGAAAAGUGAAGAAGAUGAAAAAUUAAACCGCUAAAAUCAAUUUUUAUAAAACCAUUAUUCCUAAAUUACCCUUAUGCACUUCUUUAAAAGGGUUUUAUUCAUUUACUGAGGACAUGCAAUAGAAUUUUGACAUGUGGAGGUGUGUCAAAAUUGUGUCAAGAUAGAGUGUCAAACAAACAUUUUCCAUACUUUAUAUUUCCUAACUCCAACACUUCUUCCAUAAACUAACCACUACAGCAUGACUCUAUUCUAUUCACCCACUUCCUUUUCUUUCCAUAACAUAAAUCUAUUAAACAAAAUUACAGAACCAAACUUUCCUAAUCCUAAAUUAACACCACAACCGCUAAUUAAUUAUUUCCUAUUAAAAUAUCACAUCAAUCAAGAUUUUUUUAAUCUUUUCUUAAUUCCUCUCCCUUUUUUUUAACUAACGUAGGACCCAUUCUCACCUACCCACUUAUUUAACAAAACAAUUCAAAUUAAAGAACUCCAUUUUUUUUUCUUCCCACACUGCCUAUUUCCUCUCUGUUACCAUUGUUCUUCUUUUUUUAAAUCUUCACCUCUCUUUCCAUUUAAGUGGGACCCACGGGUCUCACACCUAUGCACUCCAAAGUCAAAAGCAAAUCCUCCCUUAUACUUCCCACAGUUAAUAAAUAAACCAAUUUCUCCUCUGCACCUCAACGUACCAUGACAAAAGCCUUCCCAUGCAACCAUUGAGUAGCUCUCUUCCUCCUCUUUAUUGAACACCUAAAUUUAUUUUAUAAUAACAAAACACCACUGUCCCUUACUCAUAUU
rnacentral:lncRNA from 1 species